CUUGGAUAACAUCGGUGGCGUGGAGAGGGGAGACUGGUAUGCAUGGGCGACUGCUUGUCUUCCAUAAACAACCUUGCGCAGACUUGUGCCUCGGAGGGGAACUUUCUAGGUGCAAUCCCAUGGUCUUUCAUAACUGAAGGGGGUCUCUGAUGUGCUUGAUUUAACAA